GCUCUGGUGACCUAGUGGUUAGAGCGUCCGCCUCAGAUUCGGGAGGUCGUGGUUUGAACUCCAUCUAAGUCA